UGGUGUUACUGCGAAGGGGGGACGGAGAAGGCUAUGUUGGCCGGGCGACGGUUGUCCCGGUUUAAGCGUGUAGGUGUGUGUUCCAGGUAAAUCCGGUUCACUUUAACACUGAGGCGUGACGACGAGGCACUACGGUGCUGAAGCAACAAAUGCCCUGCUUCCAGGAAAAGCCUCUAAGCAUCAGGUAACAUCAAAUCGUACCCCAAACCGACACAGGUGGUCAGGUAGAGAAUACCAAGGCGCUUGAGAGAACUCGGGUGAAGGAACUAGGCAAAAUGGUGCCGUAACUUCGGGAGAAGGCACGCUGACACGUAGGUGAAGUGAUUUACUCAUGGAGCUGAAGUCAGUCGAAGAUACCAGCUGGCUGCAACUGUUUAUUAAAAACACAGCACUGUGCAAACACGAAAGUGGACGUAUACGGUGUGACGCCUGCCCGGUGCCGGAAGGUUAAUUGAUGGGGUCAGCGCAAGCGAAGCUCCUGAUCGAAGCCCCGGUAAACGGCGGCCGUAACUAUAACGGUCCUAAGGUAGCGAAAUUCCUUGUCGGGUAAGUUCCGACCUGCACGAAUGGCGUAAUGAUGGCCAGGCUGUCUCCACCCGAGACUCAGUGAAAUUGAACUCGCUGUGAAGAUGCAGUGUACCCGCGGCAAGACGGAAAGACCCCGUGAACCUUUACUAUAGCUUGACACUGAACAUUGAGCCUUGAUGUGUAGGAUAGGUGGGAGGCUUUGAAGUGUGGACGCCAGUCUGCAUGGAGCCGACCUUGAAAUACCACCCUUUAAUGUUUGAUGUUCUAACGUGGACCCGUUACCCGGGUUGCGGACAGUGUCUGGUGGGUAGUUUGACUGGGGCGGUCUCCUCCUAAAGAGUAACGGAGGAGCACGAAGGUUGGCUAAUCCUGGUCGGACAUCAGGAGGUUAGUGCAAUGGCAUAAGCCAGCUUGACUGCGAGCGUGACGGCGCGAGCAGGUGCGAAAGCAGGUCAUAGUGAUCCGGUGGUUCUGAAUGGAAGGGCCAUCGCUCAACGGAUAAAAGGUACUCCGGGGAUAACAGGCUGAUACCGCCCAAGAGUUCAUAUCGACGGCGGUGUUUGGCACCUCGAUGUCGGCUCAUCACAUCCUGGGGCUGAAGUAGGUCCCAAGGGUAUGGCUGUUCGCCAUUUAAAGUGGUACGCGAGCUGGGUUUAGAACGUCGUGAGACAGUUCGGUCCCUAUCUGCCGUGGGCGCUGGAGAACUGAGGGGGGCUGCUCCUAGUACGAGAGGACCGGAGUGGACGCAUCACUGGUGUUCGGGUUGUCAUGCCAAUGGCACUGCCCGGUAGCUAAAUGCGGAAGAGAUAAGUGCUGAAAGCAUCUAAGCACGAAACUUGCCCCGA
rnacentral:rRNA from 1 species